GACGAACGCUGGCGGCGUGCUUAACACAUGCAAGUCGAACGGGAGUAUCGAAGAAGCUUGCUUUAGAGAUACUUUAGUGGCGGACGGGUGAGUAACGCGUGAGGAGCUGUCCAAUGCAGGGGGACAACAGUUGGAAACGACUGCUAAUACCCCAUAAGCCGAGAGGUAAAAGGAUUUAUCCGGCAAUGGAGGUACUCGCGUCCUAUCAGCUAGUAGGUGAGGUAACGGCUCACCUAGGCGAAGACGGGUAGCCGGCCUGAGAGGGCGAACGGCCACACUGGAACUGAGAUACGGUCCAGACUCCUACGGGAGGCAGCAGUGGGGAAUAUUGGGCAAUGGGGGGAACCCUGACCCAGCGACGCCGCGUGGGUGAAGAAAUCCUUCGGGAUGUAAAGCCCUGUUGUAUGGGAAGAGCGGAAGACGGUACCAUACGAGGAAGCCCCGGCAAACUACGUGCCAGCCGCCGCAGUAA
rnacentral:rRNA from 1 species